rnacentral:rRNA from 1 species
AUUGAACGCUGGCGGCAGGCCUAACACAUGCAAGUCGAGCGGAGCGGCGGACGGGUGCGUAAUGCCUAGGAAUCUGCCCGGUCUUGGGGUAUCACGUCCGGAAACGGGCGAUAAUACCGCAUACUAUCAGAUGAGCCAAGGUUGGAUUUGCUGGUUGGUUGGGUAAAGGCCUAGCAAAGCCACGAUCCGUAACUGGUCUGUGGGGAGGAUGAGUCACACUGGAACUGAGACACGGUCCAGUCUCCUCCGGGAGGCAGCAGAGGGGAAUGUUAGACAAUGGGCGAAAGGCUGAUCCAGCCAUGCCGCGUGUGUGAAGAAGGUCUUCGGAUUGUAAAGCUCUUCUGGUUGGGAGGCGUUACCAUAAGAAUAAGCACCGGCUAACUCCGUGCCAGCAGCCGCGGUAAUUC